rnacentral:lncRNA from 1 species
UGGUGGUGAGCUGAGUGGAGGAGGUGGAGAAUGGACAACAGGAGGAGGAGGAGGAGUAGGAGAUGAAGUUGGCAGUGGAGGAGAGAAGAAUGAAGGCGGGUGUGAGGCAAGUGGUGGCGGAGGAGAAGAUGCCGGUGGCGAUGGUGGUGAGCUGAGUGGAGGAGGUGGAGAAUGGACAACCGAAGGAGGAGAGAAGAUUGGAGGCGGGGUUGAGGCAAGUGGUAUCGUAGGAGAAUGCACUGAUGAUGGAGGUGAAGAUGCCGGUGGUGGUGAGCUGAGUGGAGGAGGUGGAGAAUGGACAACUGCUGGAGGAGAAGAUGAAGCUGGUGGUGGUGGAGAAUGUACUGGCGGUGGGGAUGGGUAUACUGGUGAUGGUGGAUGUGAUGCUAUCGGUGGAGGUGGUGGAGAGCUGACUGGACGAGGUGGAGGUGGUGAGUAAUUCGUUGUUGGUGGUGAUACUACUAGUGUAGGUGGAGUGUUAUUUGAUGCAGGAGGAUGGGCCAUUGGUGGAGGUGGUGAG